GUGGCCUAGUGGUUAGAGGGUCCGCCUCAGAUGCGGGAGGUCGUGGGGUUCGAUCCCGGUCUAGUCA